rnacentral:rRNA from 1 species
GACGAACGCUGGCGGCGUGCUUAACACAUGCAAGUCGAGCGGAAAGACGAGGAGUUUGCUCCGCUGACGUUAGCGGCGCACGGGUGAGUAACAUGUGGAUACCCCACCUAUCAGACUGGGAUAACUUCGGGAAACCGGCUCUAAUCCCGUAGAAUCUCUUGAUCCGUAUGGUUCAAUAGUAAGUGACGGUUUUGGUGUAACUUCUAGCUGGAUCCGCGCCGCUUUAGCUGGUUGGUAAGGUAACGGCUUACGAGGGCAACCAUGCGUAGCCGACCGGGUAGGGUGAUCGGCCACACUGGAAGUGAGACGGGGUCCAGAGGCCUGCGGUAGGCACCAGUAGGGAAUCGGCCGCAAUGGGGGAAAACCUGACGGAGCGGGGCCGCGUGUGUGAUGAAGGUCUCCGGAUCGGAAAACUCUGUUUUUGGUGGAGAACAAAUGUGGAAGGAACUAUGCACGGAUUGACGGUACCUAAUCAGAAAGCAACGGCUAACUACGUG